CAGAUGUUAACUCGUUGACACCAGAUGUUAACAGAUGUCACUCAGGUGAUAUGUAUUCCACAUCAGAUCAAAGGUUGGAAGGUUCAGUAAGAGGUGCGCUGUUGUCCACACAUCUAGAAAACUUGACACCUUUCUUGUUUCUAGGCAACCGAACACCUUCAGUUCACACCUGCAGACAGAAACUCACCUGUCGUCUCCAAGGUUCAGCAGAAACACCUGAGAGGUGGAUCAGAUCAGCUGGAUCUACUUUCAGCAGUGAUAGGAUCCGGUCCCAGCUGAGGUAUGAUGUCUGCAGGAAACUAAACAAACAGCCUGAAAUCAAAAAUAAUUCUGAGUAUGAACAACUUCCUGUUGGUUUAUUUCAUGAGUUAGUAAAAACAAAAUCAUUUAUGGAAAAAGGUCAUUUACUUUGUUCAAUGUCAGAAAACCUGUUUCUAAACUUGAGGUUAAACCUAGAGUUAACUGAGACAAUCCUGUUAUACAGUUUAUACUCAGAGUUAAACAGUGACAAUCCUGUGUUAUACAGGUUUAAAACCAGAGUUAAACUGAGACAAUCCUGUGUUAUACAGGUUUAAACCCAGAGUUAAACUGAGACAAUCCUGUGUUAUACAGGUUUAAACCUAGAGUUAAACUGAGACAAUCCUGUUUUAUACAGGUUUAAACCCUGAGUUAAACUGAGACAAUCCUGUGUUACACAGGUUUAAACCUAGAGUUAAACUGAGACAAUCCUGUUUUAUACAGUUUUAAACCCAGAGUUAAACUGAGACAAUCCUGUGUUAUACAGGUUUAAAACCAGAGUUAAACUGAGACAAUCCUGUGUUAUACAGGUUUAAACCUAGAGUUAAACUGAGACAAUCCUGUGUUAUACAGGUUUAAAACCAGAGUUAAACUGAGACAAUCCUGUGUUACACAUGUAAACCUGGAGUUAAAUCCGAUACAAACUGGUAAUAAUCUGUGUACAAACCAAACUCAAAGUAUUUGCAUAUCAAAUGUCUGAAAGUAAUUAUAAACAAACAGGAUGCAAACUGUUUCCAUGACUCUGUAGUCCUGAGGUCAGAGGUCAGCCUGGAGCUGCUUCAUGACUCAGCAGAGUCAGAACUGGGUUUGUUUUCAGCUGGUUUGUUGAUGUGGGAGGGUUUACAGUACACACACACACACACACACACACACACACACACACACACACACAUAUAAAUGAACACGUAGAAGCCUCGUUGACUGUGUCGGUCCACUGCUGUGACGAGCUGUGCGUCGGCCAUAUUGGAGGUGGCACCGCUGCGCUGUGUACUGCUGCAGAUGAAUGGACUUUGUUUCAUAAAGCACAUUUAACAGAGAUUUACGUUAAUACAGCACCAUCAUUUAUUCAAACACACACACACACAAACACACACACAACUGAGAAAAACAGGUACCAAAAACAAUGUAUUAAAACUUCUUACAGGACUACAAAAUACAACUUUAUUGAUCUCACACACAGUUUAUGUUUCAGAAGCUGGAAAGGUAAAGUAGUGUAAAAAUAUAUUUAUGUAACACUUUGUAUUAUUAUAUGAAUUGUAAUGAAUGAAUAAAGGAAACCUAUACAGAAAAAAAAGCUAAACACACAGAAACAACAGUCUAACAAAACGUUUGAACUAAUUUAUUUAUUCAUUGUUUUAUCUUCUGAAUAAGAGAUACAGUUGGUAAUUAAAAAACUUUAUUACAAUCUUAAACUUUUGACAGUUUCAUUCUGACCAGAUAUAUUAACCCAGUUGUUAAAUUAUUAAUAUAAUAAUAACAACAAUAAUAAUAAUAAUACUUUACUAACCCCCAAAAGGAAAUUACAUUUUCCAGUACAGCCAUCCAUUAUUAUAAGAAUUCCUACAAAAAGAAAUCUUAUGUUUGCAUUAAAAGAUAAGGGAUGUUGUGAAGUUAACUAAGUUAGCUCACAUGUUAUCUGUACGAGCAAUACAGUGGCUGCUGUUUGAUGGAGCUGCUCACAACAGACCUGAGACAGGUCCUGACUCUGUUAUGAUAACACUAUGACUUAAUCCUCAUAUUACUAUGACUUUUAUUCUAGUAAAACUUUAUAUAUAUAUAUGGCAUAUGUAUGUACGGUAUAUGU